rnacentral:lncRNA from 1 species
AGACUUUUCUUCUUGGGAACUGAAUCUAUUCAGUAGGGAGCUGUCUCUCCUGAGUCAUAUCGCCAGGUGAUAAGGGAAGUGCAUCACAUCCACCAUCCCAGGCCACAGUCUCAAAAUUACAGCAGCUUUGAUCUAGGGCUUCUUGAGGUGUAGCUGAAUUUUCACACAAAUUCUAGGUCACUAGGUCAUCCAUCACCUGAAACAUGAUAAGUCAUUUAAUGGUUGCU